GACGAACGCUGGCGGCGUGCUUAACACAUGCAAGUCGAACGGAAAGGCCCUGCUUUUGUGGGGUGCUCGAGUGGCGAACGGGUGAGUAACACGUGAGUAACCUGCCCUUGACUUUGGGAUAACUUCAGGAAACUGGGGCUAAUACCGGAUAGGAGCUCCUGCUGCAUGGUGGGGGUUGGAAAGUUUCGGCGGUUGGGGAUGGACUGGCGGCUUAUCAGCUUGUUGGUGGGGUAGUGGAUUACCAAGGCUUUGACGGGUAGCCGGCCUGGGAGGGUGACCGGCCACAAUGGGACUGCGAUACGGCCCAGACUCCUACGGGAGGCAGCAGUGGGGAAUAUGGCACAAUGGGCGGAAGCCUGAGGCAGCAACGCCGCGUUCGGGAAGACGUCCUUCGGGGUGUAAACCGCUUUCUCCUGAGACGAAGCGUGAGUGACGGUAAUGGGUAAAGAAGCACCGGCUAACUACGUG
rnacentral:rRNA from 1 species